rnacentral:lncRNA from 1 species
UUAAAAACUGGAGUUAUAAUGAAAAACCUUACGUGUUUUUUCACAGUACUUAUAGCUUCUGGUGCUUGAUUUUGCGAUUUUGCGAUUUUGCUUGCCAUUGAUACAAUUGGUUUUCAUUACUGGGUGUGAGGAACUGGAGUGCAGGAAUGUACGCUGGUAACUUAAUAUAUGUUGAUGUUGGAGGAAGUGAAGAGUUCACAUGGAACGUUACGGAAUUGAUGAGGAACGUUACAGAAUUGAUGAGGAACUGAAGAAUCAAAGAAGUGGAGAGCUUCAAUUACACAGAAGUUGAAUCGCAUCUGGCGGUUCUGCGUUCCAACCUCCAGGUAAGGUGAAAAAUGUAACUUUGACGGGCCUAUUUUGGGCUGCGGAUUAGAUUUUUUUGUAACCUCAUUUGCUGGAGCCCCAACCGGUCCGGUCAAAUGGAAGAAAUGUUAUAGAAUUCGGCUGACUUGUCAAGCUCGGAUUUGUAGAUUUUUCGUGCUGACGUGGACAGCUUAAA